rnacentral:rRNA from 1 species
GAUGAACGCUAGCGGGAGGCUUAACACAUGCAAGUCGUGGGGCAGCACGGGGUAGCAAUACUCUGGUGGCGACCGGCGCACGGGUGAGUAACGCGUAUGCAACCUGCCCUGUACAGGGGGAUAGCCCGGAGAAAUUCGGAUUAAUACCCCAUAAAGAUAUUGAGAGGCAUCUUUUAAUAUUUAAAGUUUCGGCGGUACGGGAUGGGCAUGCGUGACAUUAGCUAGUUGGUAGGGUAACGGCGUACCAAGGCUUCGAUGUCUAGGGGUCCUGAGAGGGUGAUCCCCCACACUGGUACUGAGACACGGACCAGACUCCUACGGGAGGCAGCAGUGAGGAAUAUUGGUCAAUGGGCGCAAGCCUGAACCAGCCAUCCCGCGUGCAGGAAGAAGGCGCUAUGCGUCGUAAACUGCUUUUUCAGGGGAAGAAAAUCUCGUACGUGUACGGGACUGACGGUACCCUGUGAAUAAGCAUCGGCUAACUCCGUGCCAGCCGCCGCGGUAAGAC